rnacentral:rRNA from 1 species
AUUGAACGCUGGCGGCAUGCCUUACACAUGCAAGUCGAACGGCAGCGGGCCUUCGGGUGCCGGCGAGUGGCGAACGGGUGAGUAAUGCAUCGGAACGUGCCAUUGAGUGGGGGAUAACGUAGCGAAAGUUGCGCUAAUACCGCAUAUUCUGUGAGCAGGAAAGCAGGGGGACCGCAAGGCCUUGCGCUCUUUGAGCGGCCGAUGUCAGAUUAGCUAGUUGGUGAGGUAAAGGCUUACCAAGGCGACGAUCUGUAGCGGGUCUGAGAGGAUGAUCCGCCACACUGGAACUGAGACACGGUCCAGACUCCUACGGGAGGCAGCAGUGGGGAAUUUUGGACAAUGGGGGGCAACCCUGAUCCAGCCAUGCCGCGUGAGUGAAGAAGGCCUCGG